AUGGCUCCUACUCUGGAGGAUGUGUCACUUUUGCUCGGACUACCAUUGGCAGGUCAUGCCGUAGGACCGUUGGACGCACCGGCUGGUUGGGAGCGAGCUCUUACAGAAUGUUUUCACGGUGUUUUUCCGGAUGCUCCCGAUCCGGUAUGGGAGCAUCACGGACCUAAGUAUGAGCGGUUGCUAAAUUUCCGGAUCCAGAACUUCCGGGCGCCGUUGACUGCGGAACAGAUCGCUCGGAGCCUCGAGGCCUACUUACUGUGGCUUUUCGGCAAGGUGAUGUUCACGGAGAACCAUGUCACCACUAUUAGCGCCCUCUACAUCCCUAUGGCACUCGAGAUAGCGAGCGCUCAGAUGGCGGAUCAGAUCAGACAGAGGAGUUGGGGUUCGGCGGUGUUAGCGGCUACAUACCGAGGUAUGUGCAACGGUUGCCAGCUUACAUCGAGAAAGCCAGCCCUUCUUGGAUGCCCUCUAUUCCUACAGCUGUGGUCGUGGGAGAGGUUCUCUAUAGGGCGACCAGAUGUACGUGUUCAUGAGCCUAUAGACGCCAUGUUUGAUGUUGACGGCAUCGACAUGCCUACUUUCUGUCUGUGUUGGACUCGUCGCAAGAGACGCUUUGCUAGUGAUCAGACCAGGAAGGCGUACACAGCAUUGAACGAGCAGUUCGAUGCGUACACCGGGGUCAUCUGGCAGCCCUACACGGAAGCAGCCAUACAAGCGAGAUACCCUGCUGGUAUGUCUGUGCUAUGCACAAGGGACCGAGAUUACUGGAUGACAAAAUCGAAGAUCAUCUUCGAUGUCUUCGUCGAGGAGAUGGCACAACAGAGGGUUAUGAGGCAAUUUGGUCUUCUGCAGUUGGAGCUACCUCCCCCUAUAGAGAACCCGGUGCCAGCAGACAUCCACAGGACGACAAGGAAGGGCAUGAACAGGACAACUGCUGACUGGCUAGUUAGAAUGGGAGACAGCAAACACAAAUCUAUGGCACGAGAAUCACAAUUUCGAUCUCGAUGA
rnacentral:rRNA from 1 species